GGAUGUGAGGGUGAUCUGGCUGCGACAUUUGUCACCCAUAGAUUGCCAGGGUUGAUUCAGCUGAUCUGGCCGGCUAGGCGGGUGUCCCCUUCCUCCCUCACCGCUCCGUGUGCAUCCCUCCAGAAGCUGCGUGCUCGGUUGAAGAGGACGACCAUCCCUGAUAGGGGAGGACCAUUCUUUUCAGUCAAGGGUAUACAGGUAGCUGCACUCCCCCACUAGACCCUCCAAACAAGUUCUCAAGUAUUUGCAUACAUCUAAAUUGUGUAUUGACUUAAUAGCUGAGCUCCUUGGUUGCAAUGCUGUAUUUCUUU
rnacentral:snRNA from 1 species